rnacentral:rRNA from 1 species
CGAGGGUGCAAGCGUUAAUCGGAGUUACUGGGCGUAAAGCGUACGUAGGCGGAUGUUUAAGUCGGAUGUGAAAGCCCCGGGCUUAACCUGGGAACUGCAUUCGAUACUGGGUAUCUAGAGUAUGGUAGAGGAAAGUGGAAUUUCCGGUGUAGCGGUGAAAUGCGUAGAUAUCGGAAAGAACACCAGUGGCGAAGGCGACUUUCUGGACCAAUACUGACGCUAAGGUACGAAAGCGUGGGGAGCAAACAGGAUUAGAUACCCGUGUAGUCC